CUGGGCUUAGUGGCUGUUUAUUUGGACUUAAUUACCAAGGAGAGUGGAAACCCUACAGCUUCCGAAGACAGAGCCCUUUCAGGCUGGGGCGAAGCAGGAACAAUGGCUGAGACGGUUCGGGGGAGGCAUUUGACGCUUCUCCUGGUGGUCCACGUUUGUUCUGUCGAGUCUCAGAAGUUGAUGAGACCGAAAUGUUGGAUUAAGAAAGGUACAGAGACGAGCAACGCGACAUUCAGACACCCAGGUUCACAGCAAUGAGUACCAGCUAGACUGAGUUCAAAUCUUCGGUCUGUGAUGGCUGCUUUCCCCCACAGCUGGGUCAGUCCGUGCAGAAAAUGCUUCUCAGCGUCCUCGCUGAGGUUUCUGCGGCUAAUAAAAAACUGUUCGACAUCGUCACAUGGAAGGUGGCUACCAAAAAAAAAAAAAAAAAA